rnacentral:rRNA from 1 species
GCCUAUGGCCAUGCCACCCUGAAAGUGCCAGAUCUCGUCUGAUCUAGAAGCUAAGCAGGGUCGGACCUCAUUAGUACUUGGAUGGGAGACCACCUAGGAAGACCAGGUGCUGUAGGUA